UUGUCCUACGGGAGGCAGCAGUGGGGAAUAUUGCACAAUGGGGGGAACCCUGAUGCAGCGACGCCGCGUGAGUGAAGAAGUAUUUCGGUAUGUAAAGCUCUGUCAGCAGGGAAGAAGAAAGACGGAACCUGACCAAGAAGCCCCGGCUAACUACGUGCCAGCAGCCGCGGUAAUACGUAGGGGGCAAGCGUUAUCCGGAUUUACUGGGGGUAAAGGGAGCGGAGACGGCAGGGCAAG
rnacentral:rRNA from 1 species